CUCAGAUGAUCAAACAUGCAGUAAAAAUCUAUGUUGCUGUAAAUAAAGAAAGAACUCCUGUGCGUGUGGUUGUUAGCCUGCUGUGAGACACAAGCGAGCCGCUGGACUUACUGGGGGAGGUUGACUGAGGAAGAGGAAUUCUACAAGAGAGACCACAAGCGGAGCAGACCACGAUGGCGAAAUAUGCUGGAAUGAUUCAUAGUAGUCCCCGCAGGAUAAGCGGUUGACGAUGGAUAGAUGGAUUGAUGGAUGGAUGGAUUCAUAGUAGCAGUCUUGAGGAGGAAAGACUAUACUCACUAUCAUUUGGAUCACAGACUUCAUAUUCAUCGUCACCUGUGAGCUCUUGGACCUGCCAAAUCACAACAGCAAUCCCUGUCUCUUACUAACUGUGGAGCAUACAUCACAUCUCUGCAACACACACCUUUUGAAUGAUUUUUUGCACAUUUGUCAUCACUUACAUUUGUUGGAGAUCUUCUCACAUGCAGUCUGACAAAU